rnacentral:lncRNA from 1 species
GCUAUCAAGAAGGCUUUUUUGGGAAUAUUGGUGGUCUUCUUCUUUGUGCAUAAGUCUUUGAAGAAUUUGAUGUAUGUAAAAACUUGUUGGAUCAUGUCUAGUAGAGGGAUAUUUACUUUCACUUAUUUAAACAUCUCUAAGAUUUGAUUCAUAUGGGUUGAGUGUCUGUUGGACCUAAGUCUAUUUGAAAAAGAAGUUACAGAAUUGGUGGGUGAUGUCUUGACUUGCUUAAACUCUGAGAUGGAUUCUGUAAGUGGUUUGAGUGUUUCGUCAAUCUCUGUUGACUUCUUAGACUUAUCUGGCUCUUUAAACUCGAUCGGAUCGGUCAUUUGCUCAUGAGGUGGUUUAGACAAUCGGUCAUCUUGAUCUUCAGAUGUACCGACAUGGUUGUCUACUUAUUUUUCAGAUCUUAAGGUGUGAAUUGUAUUUAAUUGAUUGAUUUGGGCUCCUUGUUGUGGUCUUUGAUUGUUCUGAGUUCUAGGAUUAGCCUCGGAUUGACUCGGUAGUUUAUUUUUUGCUCUUUCACUCACAACCGUAGCUAAUUGACCUAACUGCAUCUCUAAAUGAAAAAUAGCCUGAGAAACCCUGAUUUAAUCUAAUUCAAUAUUUAGUUAGAUUUAAUCAAUUUCUCUACAUAGUC